rnacentral:rRNA from 1 species
AGUGAACGCUGGCGGUAGGCCUAACACAUGCAAGUCGAACGGCAGCACAGUAAGAGCUUGCUCUUACGGGUGGCGAGUGGCGGACGGGUGAGGAAUACAUCGGAAUCUACUUUUUCGUGGGGGAUAACGUAGGGAAACUUACGCUAAUACCGCAUACGACCUACGGGUGAAAGCAGGGGAUCUUCGGACCUUGCGCGAUUGAAUGAGCCGAUGUCGGAUUAGCUAGUUGGCGGGGUAAAGGCCCACCAAGGCGACGAUCCGUAGCUGGUCUGAGAGGAUGAUCAGCCACACUGGAACUGAGACACGGUCCAGACUCCUACGGGAGGCAGCAGUGGGGAAUAUUGGACAAUGGGCGCAAGCCUGAUCCAGCCAUACCGCGUGGGUUAAGAAGGCCUUCGGGUUGUAAAGCCCUUUUGUUGGGAAAGAAAAGCAGCAGGUUAAUACCCCGCUGUUCUGACGGUACCUAAAGAAUAAGCACCGGCUAACUUCGUG